rnacentral:rRNA from 1 species
UACGGAGGAUCCGAGCGUUAUCCGGAUUUAUUGGGUUUAAAGGGUGCGUAGGCGGUUUGAUAAGUUAGAGGUGAAAUGUCGGGGCUCAACCCCGAAACUGCCUCUAAUACUGUUGGACUAGAGAAUAGUUGCGGUAGGCGGAAUGUAUGGUGUAGCGGUGAAAUGCUUAGAGAUCAUACAGAACACCGAUUGCGAAGGCAGCAUGCCGGCUCCACACUGACGCUGAGGCACGAAAGCGUGGGUAUCGAACAGG